GCAAGUCGAACGAAGUAGCAAUACUUAGUGGCAGACGGGUGAGUAACAUGUAGGUAUCUGCCCUUGGCCUGGAAUAACACGAGGAAACUUGUGCUAAUACCGGAUAAGUCUUUACGGAGAAAGCUUUAUGCACCAUUGGAUGAGCCUGCAUUUGAUUAGUUUGUUGGUGGGGUAAUGGCCUACCAAGACUGUGAUCAAUAGCUGAUUUGAGAGGAUGAUCAGCCACAUUGGGACUGAGACACGGCCCAAACUCCUACGGGAGGCAGCAGUGGGGAAUCUUGCACAAUGGAGGAAACUCUGAUGCGGCGAUGCCGCGUGAGUGAAGAAGGCCCUUGGGUUGUAAAGCUCUUUCGUCGGGGAAGAAAAUGACUGUACCCGAAUAAGAAGGUCCGGCUAACUUCGUGCCAGCAGCCGCGGUAAUACGAAGGGACCUAGCGUAGUUCGGAAUUACUGGGCUUAAAGAGUUCGUANGUGGUUGAAAAAGUUGGUGGUGAAAUCCCAGAGCUUAACUCUGGAACUGCCAUCAAAACUUUUCAGCUAGAGUAUGAUAGAGGAAAGCAGAAUUUCUAGUGUAGAGGUGAA
rnacentral:rRNA from 1 species